rnacentral:ncRNA from 1 species
UUACAUCAUCAGGAGCGAUUUCUUACGAGAAAUCCACCAACCGAGCUUAAAAGCUACGGUGGUUAGUUCCAUUAAACGGAAGAUGUGCCUUGAAAAAGGAAAAAGUGGAACCGCCUG